UGGGAGGCAGAUACCGGGGCAGCCCUGAGUCCUCCCGACAGCAUCCCUGCUCUCUGGGGACCGAGGUGAAAUGAGAGAAAUAUCACGGACAGAUACGGAGCAGACGCUC